rnacentral:rRNA from 1 species
AGAGUUUGAUCCUGGCUCAGGAUGAACGCUGGCGGCGUGCUUAACACAUGCAAGUCGACGGAAAGGCCUCUAGCUUGCUAGAGGUACUCGAGUGGCGAACGGGUGAGUAACACGUGGGUGAUCUGCCCUGCACUGUGGGAUAAGCCUGGGAAACUGGGUCUAAUACCAUAUAGGACCGCACUUUGGAUGGUGUGGUGGAAAGCUUUGCGGUGUGGGAUGAGCCUGCGGCCUAUCAGCUUGUUGGUGGGGUAAUGGCCUACCAAGGCGGCGACGGGUAUCCGGCCUGAGAGGGUGUACGGACACAUUGGGACUGAGAUACGGCCCAGACUCCUACGGGAGGCAGCAGUGGGGAAUAUUGCACAAUGGGCGCAAGCCUGAUGCAGCGACGCCGCGUGGGGGAUGAAGGCCUUCGGGUUGUAAACUCCUUUCGCUAUCGACGAAGCCACUUGUGGUGACGGUAGGUAGAUAAGAAGCACCGGCUAACUACGCG